ACCGAGCGAGAGAGGGAGAGGGGGGAAAAAAGCCACUUACAGGGACUGAUGUGCAACUAAUUAAAGGCAGACAGGCUGGUAGCGUCUGCACACUCAAGCCCCCCCAAAUAAAGAGCCUGAGAACACCUGUUCCCAGCGCUGAAGCAUUCCGAUGGUUCUUUUAAGCAGUAGUGUAUCUUAUUUUCAAGGCAGUCCGAAGUGAAUGGCAAGCUAAAGUCUUGUUUUAAGAAACUGCUUAGUCCACCAUUGAAGAAUAUACUCAGAUACUAUUUUCAUUUAUGUAUAGGGGUUUCCUCAAAAGCAAAAGACAAAAAUCUGUGAGCCUGGGGAAUUGGCCAGCUUCUUCACAUUUAGUACACCAAUUCUUUCUUUGAUGUAACUUAGCUAUACUAGUGAAGUUGUUGUCUAUUUUUAAAGUGACUGUAAAAAAAAAAAGUUUGGGUAAACCCCUGCUAUAAAGUAAUGUAUCUUUGAAAAGUAACAUAUCUAUACUUCAUUUUCAAAUAUAUGUGUUUCAGUACUGUAAACUGUACAGAUAGCCGCUUGUAUUUUGUGUGUUUAGACACAAGGAGACAAUCAUGUCUGAACAUCAAUGGAGAUAAACGGUUUGUACACAACAGUGUGGUUCUGCGAAUUAAAUCCGGAGCAAUAAAUUCUAGCUUUAACUAUUAUUUUGCUAGUUGUGUAGCAGCAGCAGCAACAACAGCACUGUUUUACCAUGCAUCUUUCCAUAGAGACUUGAUGCCAAGUUUUCCAAGAUAUAAAGAUUGUGAUGCAUCUAGAAAUUACCUUCUGUUGUGGUGUUGUGAGAGGGGAAGAUGUAACACUUAAAAUUAAUCUUUCAAGCACUAUAUUAGAAUAGUGGUUUGUGCACUUGCAUUGCUUCCAAAGGAGCUUUACAGAGGGGUAUCUCACCAAAAAUGCUGUCUGGUGUCUGACUCAUUUUUCACUGUGCUCUGAGCUGGAGCGCCCAGCAUAGGCAGAUGUGCAAAACUAGUCGUCUAAAUAAAGGUUAUUCUAGGAUGCAAAACAAAGUAUGAGAUCUUAGGAAAGAUGAUGACUCAGCUUAAUUACCCUUCACCUACAAGAUCUUAUGUAACAUUUUCAGUCAAUGGAGUAAAUAUUUUAUAAAGUGGAAUGCCAUAUUUUUGGUUCAGGUGAAGCUCUUCACAGUUAAGUGAGUUAUGACAGUUGGACUGGUUUAGGUCUCACUUGCUCCUGUGCUCAUUUGAGAGCCUUGAUAUUUUUGCAGUAUAAAAAUGAUUUUUUUUAAAUGCUUUUAAAAGAAGACCACUUCUCCCCACAUGUUUCUUGGUCCACUGUUCUCAGCUUUGCUGAAUGACUGGUCCCUUAAGCCCCCACAAAAAUGCUUUGCUGUUCUUCUUCCUGUUCUAGCUGUAUGGAAGAAAUGUCUAUUCCAUGGAAAGGCAGAACACAGAGGGAUAUAGCUGACAUGCCAUAAAAAAUGUGGAGGAUUCUUUACUUAGGGAUGCUUAUUAUCAGUUGAUCAUCACUUUCUGUUGCUUAGCUUUGUCAUACCACUCAUGAGUGAGAAGGCCAUGCCACCAAAGUAAGUGAAUGCUGUUGUGCCAUGUAUUUGAUAUAUUUAUAAUUUUAUACAAGAUACGUCUACCAGUAGUUUCACAGACAAGGUGCUGAGCAUGGAAAUAACCAGUUAAUGUUGCACAGCACAUGCAAAUCUCCUACUGUUUCAGCACUUUCUCCAGUUUUUGCUAAGUACUUCAGCCUUUGGCCCUGGUCAGUUGACUUGGUGAAGCAUGACAGAUGAGUUGGGAAUGCUCCAGUGUGGGACCUGUGUAGGUGAGAAAGAGGCCGGCUUUGGUAAUUGAGGGCUGGCAGGUGUUGGGAACAGCCCAGAAAGUGAAGACCAAGGGAUGGAGGCAGAGAAACCUCCUGAAGUCACGCGUGUGUGUCAGCAAGACUGGGCAGAGCAUGGGUUACCCAGGGUAACUGCAGGGCACAGCUGGGCUGGGCUUACACUUGCAUCCUCGGCUUAGAGUCAGUGUGCAUGUGUCUGUGCCCUUGCAUCAUAUGACAUCACAUACAUGGCUUCAGAGAUGGAAUGUAACGCUUAAAAUGCUUCUUUCAUGGUGCCCCUCUUACAGUUUGUGAGAUCCUCAGUUGAAUACUCAUCCAAUACCCAUUCAAUGAGCUUUGUGUCUGUUUGUAUGGCAGCUGUGUAUGGAUUUUUUUUGUGUUGGAGACUUUUUGGUUAGAGGGCCUCUGUUACUGAUCACUAGACCCAUAUGAGCUCUGCAAGGUCUUCUCUACCAAAGUGCUGAUUGAUUUACAAACUGAAGCCUUAUUUGCACAUCUGACUGGUAAGCUUGCCUUGCUCUUUGAAAAACUUAUUGCUCUUACAGAAGCAGAGGCAAAGUUAAGUUCAGGCUACAUUAGGUGUACAAAGAUACUCAUAGCAAUGUACUUACUGUCGAAUACCCUAAUGUUGCAUGUCUUGUUGUGGUUCCUUUUUUUGUUUUGUUCUGUUUUAAAGAACUGAUGGAUCUGUAUAUUGUAAUUGUGGUGUUUUACAUGUCAAUUCAAAAUUGUUAAAGGCACAAACAAACAUACCUGUUAAUUAUUGAAAAUGAACGAGAGGUGAUUUUUCUUUGAUUUACCCAUAUGGUUUUCAUUUCAGAUGUUGUUCCUUUGCACCAUCAGGUUUUUAGAUUCUGCUGAAACAGUAUUUAUAUGAUGUGGUGUGCAUAGAGCAUUUUAAUUAGUGAUGUUUGAAGAAGGAAAUCCAUUUUCUGGCCUGUCUCUCCCCACUGCCCUCCCCAUCCCUCCCCAUUUAUAUACAUAUUUGUCAAUCGGAUUAUUGUCAAGUUCUAAUUACCAAAUUUGUGCUUCUCACAAGGUCCAAUACCAUUUUGCAAUGUGAAAAUUUGUAUUCUUUUCCGUUCUUUCAUUCUCACAGUGAAAAGUUAAAAAAAAAAAAAGAAAAAGGGUGUGGGCAAAAAAAAAGCAGAACUCUUUCUGUCUUCUAGGUGUGAGCGCUAAGCCUAGUGGAUGCAUUUUGGCAUACCCCAGAUAAACUUAUGAAAAAUGGUAAGCUUGAAAGGGAGGCACUUGUACCCAUUCUGUCAAUUAAUAACAGACCCUCCCUACGAAGGAAAAUACUCCCUUUUGUACAGACCCCCUGGUACGUAAGUCCUACAAUUAAUGUUGAAGAAUGUAAAGUCUUUAAAUGGGCUAUAUCUAUAAUCAAAUAAUGAAGAAAGAAAGUAGUUAAAUGAACACACCAUUCAGGGUCGAAUGCAUUCAGCAAAAAGCAGUAGUGGGUCUUUGAUCAUGGUUAGAUGCAUAGUGAUAUCAAACAGUGGGUUCUCAUGUAACAGCUAAAUGUUUCAGAUUUUGUUUUUAUUAAAUUUGGCAGUUUCACGCUGAGCUCUACUGUAUUCUUAGUGAACAAAAGACAGCUCCUAUGUUAGAAAGUACUCCAUUUUCACAAUUGCAGGGAACUAGGAGGGUAUUUUCAGAAACAUGGGCCACAGAAAUGUACUCCUUUCACAGUGUUCUCCUAUUUCUGAACUGUGCAGUUAUCUAUUAAAUUUUCUAAUAGAUAUUUGUGUAAGGUGUAUGUAUGCUUGUGCAAUUAUGGAAAAAAACAGUUUUGGAAAACAGUGUAUUUAUGAAAAAAUAAUCACUUAUGGGGCAUGUACAAAACUGUAUAAAAACAUUCAAUUUGCCCAGUAAAGUUGUUUUUGUGAUAUUUCUGUGUUGUUGAAUAAAGGACUUUAGUAUUCAAAAUAUCUCUCUUUUUCCAUAAACAGGUCCUGUUUGUGGGAUCUUAAACAAAGAAAACCUCUUUUACAAAAGAACCCUCAAAAUGAGCGAGAAGGUCCAAAUGCUGACCUCAGUCUUGCGUAUGGGAAUGAAUGCUUAUGAAGUGAUGGUACAAUAGAGCUUAUUCCUUCUCAAUUGGCAAUUGAUGGAAACCCCAUAAGUUGUAUAACUGAAGGUAACAUCGUACUCUGGAUUUUUUAAAUAGCAGAAAAAAAUACUGCCUUUUUUCCUACUAGGAGUGUUGCUUCAAGAUUUUGAGGCUAUGAAAGAUCAGUGAAGUAGGAGCAAGACAGAUUACAGAACAGCCUUAAACCCAUUAAUGCAGACCUGUGUUGUAUAAAAAGAGUGGACUAGUGAGGGUGGUGUGAAAAAUUAGCAGUUAGCUUUGUAUGGAGAAGCAUGCAAAGGUGAGAUCUCAUCUGUAGCUCUUGCAACAAACAGUAGUCCUGAGGAUAGAUCAUCCCGUUGCUGUUGAAGUAGUUGGAAUUACAAAUAUGGUUUGUGAGAGAAUGCCGACAUUAUCUUCCUUUCUGUUUUACUGCGUCUCAGUUCAAUGUUCAGCUCUCUACCUAUCUCGAAAACUAUACAUAGCUAAGGAAAUGUUUUUCUCUUGACGUUUUGUUUCCCCAUACUGCUUGCUGGCAUUAAAGCAACUUCAGAUAGGUGGGAAGGUUUGUGACAAGUGCUGGCAGCACAUCAUCUGAUUUUGGUGAAAUUUGGAAUGUCAUUUUUCUGCGCACUUUCCUUUAAUCAACAGAAAGUCUGCUCUUAGGUGCCAAAACAGAAUUUUGAAAGAGUUUGAAAAAUGAGGUAGAUCCUUUAGUCUGUGAGAUGCCUUCAAUGCCAGCUGAUUUUCCUGGGGGAGCCUUGGUGUAUCCUUUUGUUUUUAAAGAAAGCAACAAAAGAAAAAGGAACAAAAGUGGAUUUUCCACUGAUCCUGUCUGCUCUCAUCGAAAUCCGUAAGGAUAUGUGUUCUUGGGAGACGUAGACCGCUCAUUAGACAAGAGUGAAUCUUGAGGUCUGUUUGAAGAGGAGGAAAAGGGCUGCCAGGUUGCUCAGGCAUACUCCGUGAUCUCUCUGGAUUAAAUAUAGAAUUCACAGGGAGGAAAUACACUCAUUUCAUGAGAUGGUCGAUUUGGAAGCAGGAAGAGGUCUCUGAGUUCCUAUUCUUUUAAUGCUUUCUCUUUCAACAUUUUUCCCCCUCAAGUAUUGUUUUAUACUGAUCUGAAUGAAAAAUGUCCCUCAACUACGAAGAAAUACUCACCCCAGACAUGAACCUUGCAGUUUAAAACUACCUCUAGUUUUUUAUAUCUUUUACUUUUUAAUUAAAAAAAAAAAAGCCAACAAAACCAUGCAACUAAAAAUAAAAACCCAGUCAAGAAGCAGGUAUUUCUUCAAAGCCAAAACUGACAAACUUACUACCGAGCCUAUUAAAGGAAGGAAAAUACACUUUUGUGUGGAAACUCAAUUCUUCUAGGCUGUGUUGAGCUCAGUUUGGUUUUGCCAAUAGCCAUGUCGAUAUUUCCAAGGAAUUAGGCUGUGAUUAUGAACAGCCUAGUGAUACAGGGCAGUGUGCCCUCUGGGAGGCUCCCGUCCUCCCCAUAUUCCCAUAGGCUUCCCAGAUAGCUCGUGGACUUGGAGGAUAUUAUAUAGGUGCUUAGUUAUAAGUUUGAUCUUACUUCACUGUAAGGAUCUACUCAGUUACCAGUGUGCACUGAGCAUGGAUAGAUGGCCUCAAAGUCUAUAAAGGAAAGAAAUUCUUCUUCUCUGUAAUAACUGCAGAACAUACAAUGAUUGAAACCACUGUAUCUAUCUGAGGAAAGAAAGAUGAAGUGCUGCGGGAUCUGCUCCCCCUGUAGGUUUCUCUCGGUUUGCUGUUUGGUUUUUAGGGUGGACACGCUUGGCUGGGUCGCUGGGUGCUUCAACAGAGCAGUUUUGCCCAAGGCAGGCAGAAUGAAGGAAAUGCAGGUAGCAAAAUGUUAUGCUUACCAGAAAGCGAUCUAGAUUGCCUAAAGAAGUUGUGAUGGUCUGGAACAUUUUCACUUCUCUUCUAAGUUCUCAGAUGACAUUGAACGAUUUUCACUUUAUUAUUAAUGUAAUAAUCAGGAAGAAUCUGUCAUGCUACCGUCCAUUCCUGAAAAACAAGUUUUAGAAGUUAACCUUAAUGGGUUAAUUUCCCAACCAACUCUGAAGGUGCUUCUUAGUGUAAUAUGACUUCACUAUAACAGAAGAUGCUGGGACUGUGGGUUCGUUGGCCUGUAUAGGGUCUUGGCUUGCAGAGUCAGGGAUCUUUGAUAGAAAAUAAUUCAGAAUUCUGGUAGAAGGAUCAACAGGUGUCAUGAUGUGAGCCAGACUCUGGAUUAAUUAUUCAGUGCAGUUCUCCCCAUCUUGGUUUAUGAUAUGUAUAAGCAUCCCACAUUUGAAAAGAAAGUACCUUUCUUCCCUUGCUCCUUUAAGUCUGCUCUCUUUACAGAGUUAAUAAGACUAACCCUCUGCACUUCUUCGGGAAAGCCCAAAGCAUUAGAAGAAAUCCAUCUCUUUUUGGCUAGACAUUUUCCUUUGGGAAGAGACAGAAGAGUUAGUCUAGGUCAGAAACUCUAGGUGCUUACUGGAAUCUCCUAGCAGAGGACUUCUUUGCAUUGGAUUUAGCUUGUGAGCAAAGUCCAUACAUCAGCUUGGCAAUUGGACACAACCCUAUAGAACACAAGCAAACAGGACCCAGUGGGGGACACCACUGCCCUCUCCCUGGUAUAUGUGACACAGGCAAGUUUAUGCCAGGUGUCCAACACCCUUCCCAUGCAGGGGUCAGGUUUGCUGUUCCCAGGAGAGGUGAACUUCCCCAGAUCUGAGAAGCCUGUAGUAUGCUGGAGGUUUUUAAGAAGAGAGAAGGUUUUGAUAUGUCCAGACAGGGACUAGAACAUCUCAACCUACUUGUCUUGUGUCAGCUUUUGAUGGAUAGCUGUGAGUGUUGGUGGCCACCAGGCUGUAGGAGAAGGACCUGAGCUAUUGAAUAUAUCUAGUCUCUUACAUGCCUACAUUUUAAUGGUCAUACCUAGAGAUUGAUAGUGAAUUUGAGCAGCUGAUCUGUUGACCGAGAUUAAUGCAGAACUAUUACAACUGGCUUUCAACAUUUUGUUGGAGAAUUACUGAGUAAAUAACCUGAUCUAGCAAAAUGUGUCACCCACAUUAGGAACUGUGAAGUAAUUAUUGCUUUCUCAUACUCUGCUAUUACUUGUUUUGCUUUUUUAUCCUGAUUGUUUGCAUUCCUAGGACUGAUUUGCCUUUCUGAUGCAAUGCCAUGUGAUCUCCUGAUUAAUUUUUGUGAGCAAUCAUAAACUCCAACCUAUGGUUGACUCCGUAUAUUUUUAUGCUACGCUCCAUAAACAUUCAUUCAUUUAUUAUGAUUACUGUGUGGAAACAGACUUUUACAGGCUAAUAAACUUGGAUUUGAACUGGA